rnacentral:rRNA from 1 species
UUAUUGUCUUAAAAGAACCAGGUUUUCAAUUUAGCAAGUUGAAACUUACGUGUUAGGAGACAGUCUCAUGUAGAUAGUUUCUAUUGAGGCGUAGGCCUCCCAAAAGGUAAUGGAGGCGUGCAAAGAUUUCCUUGAGCCUGACAGAGAUUGGCCCUCGAGUGUUAAGGCAAAAGAGAGCUUGAUUGCAACAUCCACCUACUGAGUAGGGACAAACAGUCGACCUUAGGGAUCCGAUGGCGCCAAGUGAAAGGGCUGUCGCUCGACGGAUAAA